rnacentral:rRNA from 1 species
GGCGUGCCUAAUACAUGCAAGUCGAACGGAAGUACCUUCGGGUACUUUAGUGGCGAACGGGUGAGUAAUACAUAGGUAACCUACCCUUAAGACGAGGAUAGCCAUUGGAAACGAUGGAUAAAACUGGAUAGGAUAUAGAGGAAGAAUCUUUUAUAUUUAAAGGAGAGAUCUGCUUAAGGAGGGGCCUGUGGCGCAUUAGCUAGUUGGUGGGGUAAGGGCCUACCAAGGCGAUGAUGCGUAGCCGGACUGAGAGGUUGAACGGCCACAAUGGAACUGAGAACGGUCCAUACUCCUACGGGAGGCAGCAGUAGGGAAUUUUCGGCAAUGGGGGGAGCCCUGACCGAGCAACGCCGCGUGAACGAAGAAGUUAUUCGUAAUGUAAAGUUCUUUAAUCAGGGAAGAAAGAGGAAUUUGACGGUACCUGAGGAAUAAGCUCCGGCUAACUACGUGCCAGCAGCCGCGGUAAUACGUAGGGAGCGAGCGUUAUCCGGAAUUAUUGGGCGUAAAGGGUGCGUAGAUGGCAUAGUAAGUCUUUUGUAAAAAUGCUGGGCUCAACCCAGUAGGGCAAAAGAUACUGCAAAGCUAGAGUAUGACAGAGGCAAGUGGAACUACAUGUGUAGCGGUAAAAUGCGUAAAUAUAUGUAAGAACACCAGUGGCGAAGGCGGCUUGCUGGGUCGAUACUGACAUUGAGGCACGAAAGCGUGGGGAGCAAACAGGAUUAGAUACCCUGGUAGUCACGCCCUAAACGAUGAGUACUAAGUGUUGGUGAGAAUCAGUGCUGAAGUUAACGCAUUAAGUACUCCGCCUGAGUAGUACGUACGCAAGUAUGAAACUUAAAGGAAUUGACGGGAGCCCGCACAAGCGGUGGAGCAUGUUGUUUAAUUCGACGAUACGCGAAGAACCUUACCAGGUCUUGACAUAGCACGCGAAGGCGUAGAGAUACGUUGGAGGAUAGCGUGCAUACAGGUGGUGCAUGGUUGUCGUCAGCUCGUGUCGUGAGAUGUUGGGUUAAGUCCCGCAACGAGCGCAACCCUUAUUUCUAGUUACCAGCAGUAAGAUGGGGACUCUAGAGAGACUGCCAUUGAUAAAAUGGAGGAAGGUGGGGAUGACGUCAAAUCAUCAUGCCCUAUAUGACCUGGGCUACAAACGUGCUACAAUGGCUGAAACAAAGAGAAGCGAGCCCGCGAGGGGGAGCGAACCUCAAAAAAGCAGUCUCAGUUCGGAUUGAAGUCUGCAACUCGACUUCAUGAAGAUGGAAUCGCUAGUAAUCGCGAAUCAGAAUGUCGCGGUGAAUACGUUCUCGGGCUUUGUACACACCGCCCGUCAAACCAUGAGAGUUUGUAAUACCCGAAGCCGGUGGCCUAACGAAAGAGGGAGCCGUCUAAGGUAGGAC